rnacentral:rRNA from 1 species
GACAGAGGGUGCAACCGUUGUUCGGAAUUACUGGGCGUAAAGCGCGUGUAGGCGGCUAUCUAAGUCGGGCGUGAAAUCCCAUGGCUCAACCAUGGAAGUGCACCCGAAACUGGGCAGCUAGAGUCCUGGAGAGGAAGGUGGAAUGCUUGGUGUAGAGGUGAAAUUCGUAGAUAUCAAGCGGAACACCGGUGGCGAAGGCGGCCUUCUGGACAGUGACUGACGCUGAGACGCGAAAGCGUGGGGAGCAAACAGG